UACGGAGGAUCCAAGCGUUAUCCGGAAUCAUUGGGUUUAAAGGGUCCGUAGGCGGGUUAUUAAGUCAGUGGUGAAAGUUUUCGGCUUAACCGAAAAAUUGCCAUUGAUACUGGUAGUCUUGAAUUAUUGUGAAGUAACUAGAAUAUGUAGUGUAGCGGUGAAAUGCUUAGAUAUUACAUGGAAUACCAAUUGCGAAGGCAGGUUACUAACAAUAUAUUGACGCUGAUGGACGAAAGCGUGGGUAGCGAACAGG
rnacentral:rRNA from 1 species